GACCGGGCUGGGUGGUCUUGCCGUAAGGUAAGCACUGCUCUGGUCUGGUCUUUCUUUCUGGAGCUCCUGCGUGCUCUUAACUGAGUGCACAGGGUGAUCCAGGACUUUUACUUUGAAAAAAUUAGAGUGUUUAAAGCAGGCUUACGCUUGAAUACAUUAGCAUGGAAUAAUAGAAUAGGACUUUGGUUCUAUUUUGUUGGUUUCUAGGACCGAAGUA
rnacentral:rRNA from 1 species